GUGGCCAAGUUUUUAAGGGCGCACGGUGGAUGCCUUGGCACCAGGAACCGAUGAAGGACGUGGGAGGCCACGAUAGUCCCCGGGGAGUCGUCAACCAGGCUUUGAUCCGGGGGUUUCCGAAUGGGGAAACCCGGCAGUCGUCAUGGGCUGUCACCCAUACCUGAACACAUAGGGUAUGUGGAGGGAACGCGGGGAAGUGAAACAUCUCAGUACCCGCAGGAAGAGAAAACAACCGUGAUUCCGGGAGUAGUGGCGAGCGAAACCGGAUGAGGCCAAACCGUAUGCGUGUGAGACCCGGCAGGGGUUGCGUAUACGGGGUUGUGGGAUCUCUCUUUCAUGGUCUGCCGGCCAUGAGACGAGUCAGAAACCGUUGAUGUAGGCGAAGGACAUGCGAAAGGUCCGGCGUAGAGGGUAAGACCCCCGUAGUCGAAACGUCAGCGGCUCGUUUGAGAGACACCCAAGUAGCACGGGGCCCGAGAAAUCCCGUGUGAAUCUGGCGGGACCACCCGCUAAGCCUAAAUAUUCCCUGGUGACCGAUAGCGGAUAGUACCGUGAGGGAAUGGUGAAAAGUACCGCGGGAGCGGAGUGAAAUAGUACCUGAAACCGUGUGCCUACAAGCCGUGGGAGCGUCGGAAGCAAGCUUGCUUGCUUCUCGUGACUGCGUGCCUUUUGAAGAAUGAGCCUGCGAGUUUGCGGUGUGUUGCGAGGUUAACCCGUGUGGGGAAGCCGUAGCGAAAGCGAGUCCGAACAGGGCGUUUCAGUAGCACGCUCAAGACCCGAAGCGGAGUGAUCUAGCCAUGGGCAGGUUGAAGCGGAGGUAAGACUUCGUGGAGGACCGAACCCACCAGGGUUGAAAACCUGGGGGAUGACCUGUGGUUAGGGGUGAAAGGCCAAUCAAACUCCGUGAUAGCUGGUUCUCCCCGAAAUGCAUUUAGGUGCAGCGUCGUGUGUUUCUUGCCGGAGGUAGAGCACUGGAUAGGCGAUGGGCCCUACCGGGUUACUGACCUUAGCCAAACUCCGAAUGCCGGUAAGUGAGAGCGCGGCAGUGAGACUGUGGGGGAUAAGCUCCAUGGUCGAGAGGGAAACAGCCCAGAGCAUCGACUAAGGCCCCUAAGCGUACGCUAAGUGGGAAAGGAUGUGGAGUCGCACAGACAACCAGGAGGUUGGCUUAGAAGCAGCCACCCUUGAAAGAGUGCGUAAUAGCUCACUGGUCUAGUGAUUCCGCGCCGACAAUGUAGCGGGGCUCAAGCGUACCGCCGAAGUCGUGUCAUUGCAGCAAUACUCCCAACGGAGGCUGUGAUGGGUAGGGGAGCGUCGUGUGCCGGGUGAAGCAGCGCCGGAAGGCAGUUGUGGACGGUUCACGAGUGAGAAUGCAGGCAUGAGUAGCGAUUCACACGUGAGAAACGUGUGCGCCGAUUGACUAAGGGUUCCUGGGUCAAGCUGAUCUGCCCAGGGUAAGUCGGGACCUAAGGCGAGGCCGACAGGCGUAGUCGAUGGAUAACCGGUUGAUAUUCCGGUACCCGCUGUGAAGCGUCAAACAUCGAACCAGGCGAUGCUAAGUCCGUGAAGCCGCCCCGGAGCCUUCGGGCAAAGGGGAGUGGUGGAGCCGACGAACCAGACUUGCAGUAGGUGAGUGAUGGGGUGACGCAGGAAGGUAGUCCAGCCCGGGCGGUGGUUGUCCCGGGGUAAGGGUGUAGGCCGCAAGGUAGGCAAAUCCGCCUUGCAUACGGCUGAGACCUGAUGCCGAGCCGAUUGUGGUGAAGUGGAUGAUCCUAUGCUGUCGAGAAAAGCCUCUAGCGAGUUUCAUGGCGGCCCGUACCCUAAACCGACUCAGGUGGUCAGGUAGAGAAUACCGAGGCGU
rnacentral:rRNA from 1 species